rnacentral:rRNA from 1 species
GACGAACGCUGGCGGCGUGCUUAACACAUGCAAGUCGAGCGGUAAGGCCCUUUCGGGGGUACACGAGCGGCGAACGGGUGAGUAACACGUGGGUGACCUGCCCUUAGCUCUGGGAUAAGCCUGGGAAACUGGGUCUAAUACCGGAUAUGACUCCAUGACGCAUGUUGUGGGGUGGAAAGCCUUGUGCGGCUAGGGAUGGGCCCGCGGCCUAUCAGCUUGUUGGUGGGGUGAUGGCCUACCAAGGCGACGACGGGUAGCCGGCCUGAGAGGGCGACCGGCCACACUGGGACUGAGACACGGCCCCAGACUCCUACGGGAGGCAGCAGUGGGGAAUCUUGCGCAAUGGGCGAAAGCCUGACGCAGCGACGCCGCGUGAGGGAUGACGGCCUGGUUGUAAC